AACCCAUGGUUAGGGAACCUUCUUAAUAAAUCCUUAUACCUCUCCCAUGCAUAGUAAAGGGUUUCUAAAUCCAUUUGCACGAAGGAAAAGAUAUCAUUCCUUAGCUU
rfam:Gossypium hirsutum cultivar TM-1 chromosome 11, whole genome shotgun sequence